AGUGAACGCUGGCGGUAGGCCUAACACAUGCAAGUCGAACGGCAGCACAGUAAGAGCUUGCUCUUACGGGUGGCGAGUGGCGGACGGGUGAGGAAUACAUCGGAAUCUACUUUUUCGUGGGGGAUAACGUAGGGAAACUUACGCUAAUACCGCAUACGACCUACGGUUGAAAGCAGGGGAUCUUCGGACCUUGCGCGAUUGAAUGAGCCGAUGUCGGAUUAGCUAGUUGGCGGGGUAAAGGCCCACCAAGGCGACGAUCCGUAGCUGGUCUGAGAGGAUGAUCAGCCACACUGGAACUGAGACACGGUCCAGACUCCUACGGGAGGCAGCAGUGGGGAAUAUUGGACAAUGGGCGCAAGCCUGAUCCAGCCAUACCGCGUGGGUGAAGAAGGCCUUCGGGUUGUAAAGCCCUUUUGUUGGGAAAGAAAAGCAGCAGGUUAAUACCCCGCUGCUCUGACGGUACCCAAAGAAUAAGCACCGGCUAACUUCGUG
rnacentral:rRNA from 1 species